GCCGCAGUAGCCCAGAUGGUAAAGGCGUCGCCAGUAGAUGGCGAAGUUCGCUGGUUCAAAUCCAGCCUGCGGUG